rnacentral:rRNA from 1 species
GAUGAACGCUGGCGGCGUGCCUAAUACAUGCAAGUCGAGCGAACAGACGAGGAGCUUGCUCCUCUGACGUUAGCGGCGGACGGGUCAGUAACACGUGGAUAACCUACCUAUAAGACUGGGAUAACUUCGGGAAACCGGAGCUAAUACCGGAUAAUAUAUUGAACCGCAUUGUUCAAUAGUGAAAGACGGUUUUGCUGUCACUUAUAGAUGGAUCCGCGCCGCAUUAGCUAGUUGGUAAGGUAACGGCUUACCAAGGCGACGAUGCGUAGCCGACCUGAGAGGGUGAUCGGCCACACUGGAACUGAGACACGGUCCAGACGCCUACGGGAGGCAGCAGUAGGGAAUCUUCCGCAAUGGGCGAAAGCAUUACGGAGCAGCGCCGCGCGAGUGAUGAAGGUCUUCGGAUCGUAAAACUCUGUUAUUAGGGAAGAACAAAUGUCUAAGUAACUAUGCACGUCUUGACGGUACCUAAUCAGAAAGCCACGGCUAACUACGUG